UCAUAGAUCCAAUAUUUUUUUAACGCCGGAUCCGAUGGGAUCAUAGAUCCUAACUUGCUGUUUGUUUUGACAUCCGCUGAGAUCAUAGGUCCAUGGACAUGUCUGGUGAAAACAACAGACAUUAUAAUCCAAUAAUUCUAAAUAUCUAAUUAUCCAAUUAUCUAAUAUCUAAGAUAUCGACAUUAUCUAAUAAAUUCGCGUUGUUUGAACACAUUGAUAAAGUUACCUAUUUAUGUAUGAUUUAUCAUAAGCCGGCUCAGCGUUUUAACAGCCAUAUUUUAUCUAACGUGCUUUAUCUUUAAGUAUUUAUUUUAAAGUUUUCUUGUUGGCUACUCUUACAUCAUCUGACAUGUCCGUAACCAUAAGAGAUAAAAGCAUCAUGGAUUAUCAGUUGAUGUCAUCGUUGAGCAAAGUAUUAGCAAAGUAGGAAUACUAAGCAUAUAUGAAUACCAAGCAAAGUAUUCAUAUAGGUAUGAACUUAACACUCACUGCAGAACCUUGCUAUAAUACACAAUGAAAGCAUUUUUACACUCACUUCGCCGUAUUAACACCACCUAAAGGUGUAAAUAGCAGACUGAGCACUAUACGCAGGUCUAUAACACGGCAAUUACGCUUAGAAACUGAUCAAAGCGAAAUUACACCUCGUUGGUGUGCAAAUCACACCCAUACAACACCUUAUGGAGGUGCAAUUCUGAACUUAAACACCUAGCUUUUGUUCAUUUACGAAUAACACCUUCCUGUAGUGUAGAUGAUCGCGCUUCAUGUGUGCUGUGUUAUUGACAAAGGAUCCUUGAUCUGCGAUUGCCGCAUUUUUGUCUUGGCUCAACACUGCUCUGAAGUGUAAUGUACCGGACGGCAAAGGCGCAUGCGCGUGACGCCGCUCGCGCACCCACGCGGCUUUCAGUGCGCCAUUGUGCUUCAACGAACGUGGUUGUUAGUGUGCUGAGCUCUGAGCUGGUGUGACUAUUGAGCAUUGAGGAAGGCCCACCUGCUCCAGAACGGAGAAGGAACUCGAACACCUUCUACUCGAGAUGCGUGAGGAGCAGGUCGUUUUUGACCCCGCGACAACGAACGGACCGUCCACCAUCGCAGAUGGCGUGCACUUUGGGUCGAAAGGGGAAGAUAGCCGAAUUCCAAACAAAAUGGCGAACAUGCAGGACGAGCUGUACAUCACGAACAUCGCUAUCUCCUUCGAGCGCGCUCGCAGGCGCUGGACUCGAACGCCUAGCCCCGGUUCAUAUCUGCAGGGGACUCGCCGUUU